rnacentral:rRNA from 1 species
UGGGGAAUUUUGGACAAUGGGGGCAACCCUGAUCCAGCCAUCCCGCGUGUGCGAUGAAGGCCUUCGGGUUGUAAAGCACUUUUGGCAGGGAAGAAACAGCCUGGGAUAAUACCCCGGGCGACUGACGGUACCUGCAGAAUAAGCACCGGCUAACUACGUGCCAGCAGCCGCGGUAAUACGUAGGGUGCAAGCGUUAAUCGGAAUUACUGGGCGUAAAGCGUGCGUAGGCGGUUCGGAAAGAAAGGUGUGAAAUCCCAGGGCUUAACCUUGGAACUGCACUUUUAACUACCGAGCUAGAGUACGUCAGAGGGGGGUAGAAUUCCACGUGUAGCAGUGAAAUGCGUAGAGAUGUGGAGGAAUACCGAUGGCGAAGGCAGCCCCCUGGGAUGAUACUGACGCUCAUGCACGAAAGCGUGGGGAGCAAACAGGAUUAGAUACCCUGGUAGUCCACGCCCUAAACGAUGUCAACUAGUUGUUGGGGAUUCAUUUCCUUAGUAACGUAGCUAACGCGUGAAG